rnacentral:rRNA from 1 species
AUUAUGGCUCAGAUUGAACGCUGGCGGCAGGCCUAACACAUGCAAGUCGAGCGGAUGACGGGAGCUUGCUCCUUGAUUCAGCGGCGGACGGGUGAGUAAUGCCUAGGAAUCUGCCUGGUAGUGGGGGACAACGUUUCGAAAGGAACGCUAAUACCGCAUACGUCCUACGGGAGAAAGCAGGGGACCUUCGGGCCUUGCGCUAUCAGAUGAGCCUAGGUCGGAUUAGCUAGUUGGUGGGGUAAUGGCUCACCAAGGCGACGAUCCGUAACUGGUCUGAGAGGAUGAUCAGUCACACUGGAACUGAGACACGGUCCAGACUCCUACGGGAGGCAGCAGUGGGGAAUAUUGGACAAUGGGCGAAAGCCUGAUCCAGCCAUGCCGCGUGUGUGAAGAAGGUCUUCGGAUUGUAAAGCACUUUAAGUUGGGAGGAAGGGCAGUAAGUUAAUACCUUGCUGUUUUGACGUUACCGACAGAAUAAGCACCGGCUAACUCUGUGCCAGCAGCCGCGGUAAUACAGAGGGUGCAAGCGUUAAUCGGAAUUACUGGGCGUAAAGCGCGCGUAGGUGGUUUGUUAAGUUGGAUGUGAAAGCCCCGGGCUCAACCUGGGAACUGCAUCCAAAACUGGCAAGCUAGAGUACGGUAGAGGGUGGUGGAAUUUCCUGUGUAGCGGUGAAAUGCGUAGAUAUAGGAAGGAACACCAGUGGCGAAGGCG